GAAAGACCAGGCAGGGAAGAACACGUUGGGGAAGGCGGCAUGAACUCCAUCUCCAGAGCCAAGCUGAGAAUGCCCACAGAGCCCUGGCACAUACAAGCCAAUGCUGAGCCAAACAGCCCACAGACUUCUGAGUGAGCUUUUGCUGCAACAAAAAACUUUGGAUCAUUUCGAGAGCUUCCCGUGAGGCGCCAAUAUGCUGCAGUACCUUCCCAGCUCUGCUACUGAUAGGAUUCAUACCAGAUAAAGUAUGAACACGCUCAAGCUGGCUAGCAGCUGGAAAAACUGGAGUCAAUCAAAUUGACCUUGAGAAACACAAGAAGGUGGCAUUUAAUGAUGUGCCAGAUCGAGUCCCUGCCCAGAGAGGAGAUGGGACGACGAACACCCGUAAGGAAUUUACACUGGGAACCCACUGAAAGGAUUUCUUCUCAUGCACCCUGCUGCCUCUCCAGAUAGAAACUCGCUACCUAUCAAGCUUCCCCUGCCUGUCAGCAGAGCUAUUUUCAGCAGUGGUACAAUUUCACCACGCGGGAGCCAGGCUCAUCAAAUGAGAUAAUGCACAGAAAAGCUCUGAAGAGACGUAACUGUCGUUAAUAGAAGAUCUGGGGGAAAUCUGCAAAAACCAAAAGAACCAAAUGUUGCCCGUGCUGCUACCUUGGGACUCAAUCACCCUGGUCAGUGGCCAACUGCCAUCACAAAAAGCUGAAAUUCACCCAAAUGUGCCACAGCGGGAAAACGGUAUGUAUGCUGACAUCAGCAGAUCAAAACAAAGUAAGAAUAAAAUCACAUGGAAAGCUCUCAUACAAGCAUCUGCUUUGCCGCUGUUGCUUCUGGCAGCCCUGGACGUUGAAGGAAGGACACCCCCUGAAGCCAUCAACUUGUGACAGUCACUGCAGUUAAAUGCUGGCAGUUAAGAGGAUUAAUCAAGAGAAAUACAAAGACACAAGAAGAAUACGACUUUCAUUUUACUUAUAACCGGAGCUGCUGGAGAAGUAUGUUGACGUGCCCGAUGCGAGACACCACAGCAGUGCUGCGGAGCAGCCAGCUCGCACCGGCGUGCCCGGGUGCAUGUGCACACCUCCCCUGGCUCCUCACUGACAUCCCCUUGGUAGCCUGAAAGAAGCCACGGUGAAAGUAUGUGCACCAUGGAGAGAGACCUGGGCUCCCCGCCAGAGCUGGUGGUGGACCACUGACCGGCCCACCACUGUAACAGGCUCAGGGGGGAGAGGCCGAAGAGUUACACAGGAACUUAACAUCAAUGCCCAGUAGGGCAAAUCUGAAACACAGAAGACUGGCAGGUGUACAUGCAGCAGGUGGGGUGAAUGGACGCCCAGGCCCCAGAGAUACAAUUUUGAAGCGUUUUAAUCACCAACUCCUAAUUGUUCCCAAGAGGUAUUUAAGAAUGUAGUAGGGUAGCCCCAUAGGUUACCUAACUACAUACCUAGCCAAGUUACUCAACUUCAGAGCCUCAAUUUACCUAUCUGCAAAAUGGAAAUAAUCCUAGAACUGAUCUCUCAAGGAAACGCUAUGAAGGCAGGCAUCAAACGAGCUUUGAGCCGAGCUCUAAAAGAGACCUGCCCUCAAGAACCCACAAAGCGCCCCUGUGCGUGUAACGCUGACCCCUGUGCAGCAGCCCUGCGUCCAGCUGAACCCGGACACCCAGCCCCAUGCCUGGCCCAAGGAGCUGCCUAAGUGCAAUUAGGCGGGAUGAAUAAUUGCCUUCAGAAGUUGGGAAAUAUACUCAGAACAAUUUUUUUCUACCCUGAAAGAAUUAAAAAAAAAAAAAAAAGUCACCCCCAUGUUUCUGACUUU